AGUGGCGGACGGGUGAGUAACGCGUGAGAAUCUGCCUUCAGGACGGGGACAACAGUUGGAAACGACUGCUAAUACCCGAUGUGCCGAGAGGUGAAAGUUAUUUCGCCUGAAGAGGAGCUCGCGUCCGAUUAGCUAGUUGGUGGGGUAAAGGCCUACCAAGGCGGCGAUCGGUAGCUGGUCUGAGAGGAUGAGCAGCCACACUGGGACUGAGACACGGCCCAGACUCCUACGGGAGGCAGCAGUGGGGAAUUUUCCGCAAUGGGCGAAAGCCUGACGGAGCAAUACCGCGUGAGGGAGGAAGGCUUUUGGGUUGUAAACCUCUUUUCUCAAGGAAGAAGAACUGACGGUACUUGAGGAAUCAGCAUCGGCUAACUCCGUGCCAGCAGCCGCGGUAAUACGGAGGAUGCAAGCGUUAUCCGGAAUCAUUGGGCGUAAAGCGUCCGCAGGUGGCACAUCAAGUCUGCUGUCAAAGACAGAAGCUCAACUUCUGAAAGGCGGUGGAAACUGGUGAGCUAGAGUACGGUAGGGGUUGAGGGAAUUCCCAGUGUAGCGGUGAAAUGCGUAGAUAUUGGGAAGAACACCAGUGGCGAAGGCGCUCAACUGGGCCGUAACUGACACUCAGGGACGAAAGCUAAGGGAGCGAAAGGGAUUAGAUACCCCUGUAGUCUUAGCUGUAAACGAUGGAUACUAGGCGUUGCUU
rnacentral:rRNA from 1 species